GCGUAUUUCGUUACUCACAUGUUUUUACAUCGCUAAAAAGGAUCAAGUGAAAUUGUGCAGUCUUGCAACGGAAAAAAUUAAAUGAUUUUGUACACUUCAUCGUCAGGUAAAUCUUUCCAUUAAAGGGCCACAAUUUUCAAAAAUUGGUUGGAGGUUAUUUCGACAGGACUUCCCUCACGCCUGAAGUACAGCCCAACAAAUUCCGCUUUUUUGAAAAAUUAAACAAACAUAUUUUGCGAACUUUUAUUUAUGAGAACCUCUGUACAUUAAAACAAAUAUGUUUUGACACCCUAUAAUUUUUUACUUCUUCAGCGUAAGCCACUGCCACAUAUGUUUUCUUGACGUUUCAUUUCCCCUAGGGUACGAAAAAAGUAGUUUCUCGUUUUCGUUUGUCUAUCUGUCUGUCUGUCUGUCUGUCGUCUAUGUCGAUUUUUAUUUAUAUAUAUAGGAUUAAAAAAUUAUGCGUUACGGGUUAGAAUCUCAGAGGUAGCUAUGUAAAAUGAUAUAUUUGUUACUAACAUGCUAUUCUGUUGCGUUUCUACCACAUAACAUAAUACAGGUUUAGUAUUUUGUGUUUAUAAAUGUUUACAAGAGCUGUCCAAACUCUAAAUGCUGUCAAAUCUCCGACGAACACAACACCAUCAACUUAGCGGACUGGUCAAUUCAGUUAGAUUAAAAGAUUCUGUAACUAGGUGGAAAUGGAAGUAAUGAGUGUGACGCAUCUGAUGAUUCUGAUGAAAUACAAAAAUAUAGUACUCGUAUUCUAUUUACUAAAUAUAACUCGUAGAGGCUUGGAGAUCUAUUGAAAAAGUGAAAGUUAUUAUUGAUGGAAUCUUAAAUCUUGUAAGUAAUUACGAAAACAACUAUCCUUCUACCUCAAUAUGUACAGUUAAUUUGACUGCAACUGCAAGUAAUGCUGCUUCUGUUUGUUCAUCAACUUCAAGUAGAAAAAAACUAAAACGCUUGGUUUCGUCGAUAAUCUAGAAGUUACAAUAUAAGCACAUAAUUGACUCGAAGCACUUUAGAAAUUUCAUGAAAAGGCAAUACAACCAGUAUAUGAAAAGAAGGUAGGGGAAAGUGGGGCAUAACCAGGUAGCUAGUGUUUGACGGUCUGCCAACAUGAAACUGUUGCUUAAAAAUUGAAAAGUUUUUUAGGAAACGUUGCAUUCGUUUUCAAAACACUUGGUGGUUGCGUACGAAAAUCUUGUUUUUAUGGUAGGAAGCGAAGACCGUGCAAAUGGUUUAUUCUGUUGAACAAGACACUUCUUUCAUCGUUAUGUCUUGUCAUCGCAAUGGGACUUCGGAAAGGAAGAGUGGUGUAUCCUGUAACCGCUUGUAAGCAAGAGUAUCUGGCCAAAUACCCUGAUUUAAUAAUUCAAGAAUCAUCGUUAGAGGCUCACAUUAGAGAUGUAAUCAACAGAUUUGUUCGAACUGGCAGUGCCACCAAAGAUAAAUCUCGUGGAAGAUUUGAGCAGAAUUGAACAGUUGAACAGCGGGUCCAAAGUUUUGACGAAAGAAUGUUACAGAAUAUUUUUGAAAUUAAAAAGAGAGUGAACAUGUCUUUUGAACAAAAUGAUGAACAUUUUCAACAUUUACUGUGAUGUUUAACCGCAAUAAAUUUGUUUCUUUUUAUUGUAAUGAAUUAGUUUAAUUUUUUAAAAAGAUGUGAAGCGUUCAGGCAAC